rnacentral:rRNA from 1 species
GUCAUUGGGUGUACGAAACCUAAAGGCGCAAUGAAAGUAAAGACCUAUCGCUAGGUGGGUUUAGGCAGGAUCCCGGCUCCCCCGUGGGCUGGGCGCACCGCCGGCCCGUCUCGACUUCCACGUAAGUGAGGCGGAGCAAGAGCGUACACGUUGGGACCCGAAAGAUGGUGAACUAUGCCUGAGUAGGUUGAAGCCAGAGGAAACUCUGGUGGAGGACCGUAGCGAUUCUGACGUGCAAAUCGAUCGUCGAACUUGGGUAUAGGG